ensembl:misc_RNA Metazoa_SRP Metazoan signal recognition particle RNA
GCCGGGCGUGGUGGCGUGUGCCUGUAAUCCCAGCUACUCGGGAGGCUGAGGCAUGAGAAUUGCUUGAACCCAGGAGAUAGAGGUUGCAGUGAGCCGAGAUCAUGCCACUCCAGCCUGGGUGACAGAGUGAGACCUUGUCUCAA